rnacentral:rRNA from 1 species
UACAGAGGUCUCAAGCGUUGUUCGGAUUCAUUGGGCGUAAAGGGUGCGUAGGCGGGCAAGCAAGUCCGGGGUGAAAUCCUGCGGCUCAACCGCAGACGGUCGUGGGAAACUGGAAGGCUAGAGUGCGGGAGAGGAGAGUGGAAUUCCCGGUGUAGCGGUGAAAUGCGCAGAUAUCGGGAAGAACACCCGUGGCGAAGGCGGCUCUCUGGAACGCAACUGACGCUGAGACGCGAAAGCGUGGGGAGCAAACAGG